CCUACGGGUGGCAGCAGUGGGGAAUAUUGCACAAUGGGGGAAACCCUGAUGCAGCGACGCCGCGUGAGCGAUGAAGUCUUUCUGUAUGUAAAGCUCUAUCAGCAGGGAAGAAAAUGACGGUACCUGACUAAGAAUCCCCGGCUAACUACGUGCCAGCAGCCGCGGUACUACGUAGGGGGCAAGCGUUAUCCGGAUUUACUGGGUGUAAAGGGAGCGUAGACGGCUGGGCAAGCCAGGUGGGAAAGCCCGGGGCUCAACCCCGGGACUGCAUUUGAAACUGGGUGGCUGGAGUGUCGGAGAGGCAGGCGGAAUUCCUAGUGUAGCGGUGAAAUGCGUAGAUAUUAGGAGGAACACCAGUGGCGAAGGCGGCCUGCUGGACGAUGACUGACGUUGAGGCUCGAAAGCGUGGGGAGCAAACAGGAUUAGAUACCCGGGUAGUC
rnacentral:rRNA from 1 species